AUGUACCACUCGUACACUCCGGUUCCUGUGCGCCGCCCGCACCCGCCUGAC
rnacentral:sRNA from 1 species